rnacentral:lncRNA from 1 species
GGGAGAAGUAGGCUGCAGUCUGCUGAAGCUUGGACCCCCAGAACCUGUUGCCAUGGUCACAGGGGACUUUUGAUGUGAAGCGCGGCGACCCCCCCCCUUGCUUGCCUUCAGGAUGACGUCACGGACGUCCGUUUCCCUGACAGGCCACCUGUGGGUUGCUCCCGGCUUUAAAGCAGCUGUUGUCCCCUGGCCCCCGCAGCCGUGUCCACCGCGUCGACACUGGAGCGGACCUUGUCGGAACUACAGACCUGUCUCCCACUCUGGCGGCUGCGGACCGGACAGACAGCCAGGGAGAGGCAAGUAUUCCCCAAAAGGCUUCCUCCCUCCUCAUCCUCCUCCCCGCGCCCUUGCUCUGCAGCUUGAGCGGCAGGGUAGGAGGGGACUUUUUUCCAGAAAGAAGUGGACAGCAAGCAAUCAAUUUUCCUCUCCGGCCAUGGUGACCAAGUCCCUGCCCGGGCCCUUUCCAGGUUCAACAGACCUGUUGCACCCAGAGAAGAGCCCCAAACCGAUCGGCGCGCCAAGAGCCCCGAGACUCUGCUUGCCAAUAUCCCGAGAGCCCAGCACCGACGGGGAAAUGUGGGAAGCUCCCAGACGCAAUUGAGUAAUCAUCUCAGUGUUCAGGGCCCCUCUUCCUACCCACUGAGAUAGCGGCAAAUAACUCACUAACCCGGGAGGGCAAUGGAGAGGCGGAAGCCCUGUCUACUGAAAACGAACAUCUAGCGCAGGUGCGUGCUAGUCUCGCCUUUCCAUCCGCCGGGUCCUUGCCUAGCGGUCAGAAUCCCGCGGUCAGGUCUCUGGAGCCCCUCCCCGGCAAAUCCGAGCUUCUAGCUUCAGCACCAGAAGCUGGACAGCGCCCUGCCCGCUGAGCGCGGGACGAUCCCUGGGACGCCGCGCAGAGGAGUGCCUGAGAACUGAGGAUCAAAUGUGUGACCCUUGUACUCAGCUGCAUCCCUAGCCCUCUUUUUAUUUUGAAACAAGGUCUUGCUAAGUCACUAAGUUGCCCAGGCUUAGCCUUCGAGAGUGACGACAUUACAGAUCUACAUCUCCCUUUACUUCUAACCAUAGCAAAGCCAGUGGGCAGCCAGUUCUAUUAGAAAUCUCAUUCACACUUGAGAAGUCUGCAAAUUGGCAUCGCUCAGCAGGUGUCUGCUCCUCACGGCCGGAUGUCAGGAUGAGCAGAGCAGGGGGACAGCGGACUCAAGAGUCAGUCUCUCCUGGCAGCAUCUGGGGCUGGAGCCAGGUAAACGGGCAGAAAGCCUACUUCCGGAAACAAGCAUCUGGGGAGUGGGGUCCGCUCCUGGUUGGAGAGGUGGAUGCAGGGGCCCCUGUUGGUGCGCAGAGGAGGGAGUCCUGGCUCUGAAGUCAAACACGCACGUGUCCAUCUUGGCUGCACCCCUGCACAGGUGUGUGACUUUAAGCCAGUCACUUAACGUCUUUGAGCCUUGGAUCCUUGAACUGCAGGAUGGAAUUAGUCACCUCCACCGUGGCAGGUUGUUGGGACAAGUCGGUCGUGGAUGCAGAGCUGCACAGGCACAGACUCCCCCUCCCCCACUGUCCCCUUCCCGGAAGUCAGGGCGCCCGGGAACCUCGAACCACGGUGGAGUUGUAGCCACGCCUAAGGGGUGACCCUUCCCCUCCCCAGGUCACUAUGCCCUGCAAUUCGCGGAAGAAUGAACGCACCCCAACCCCCUCCCCACCGCAAAACCACAGAAAUCAAGGACUAGAAUUUGUGGCUUGCCUCUAAGUCACUCAGCAAGAUUCACAAUUUAGUGCUUCGUGAGGUGAUCUUCUAGGUAGCCCAAAAAGGGCCUCGGGUUCCUCACCCUCACCCAUCACCCGACUUUCGCGGUCCUGGUCCAGCGCUCACAUCGCAACUGCAAGUUUCCCUGGAUGUGCGGGGAUGCGGCGCCCUCUGCUGGGCCUUCGAUGCAACUGCUCGUUAGGCGAGCAAGGGUGGAGAGUAAAAUUUCCCUGGAUCAAAUCCUUCCGGUCUUUCAUUAAAAUACUGUGCGAAAUUAACCUGGAUCUAUGAGUCCUGGAAAUUCUUAGAAGCUAGGGGCACUAUACAAGUGCCACAAUCGUCUUGGUGACAGGCCAUGUCCUGGUAGGUCCAAAGUCCAGCCACAGUGGGGUCAUGAGUGCCAGUAGAGCCAGCUGUGGUGGCAUGGGCCUGUAAUCCCAGCACUCCGGGAAGCUGAGGCAAAAGGGUUGCAAGUCUGAGCUCAGCCUGGGCAGUUUAGCGAUUUAAUGAGACCUUGUCUCAACAUUAAAAAAAAAUUUUGUUUAAAUACCUCAGUUUGAAAGACCUGGGUUCAAUUCCCAGUACCCGCCCCCCACCCCACACACAAGGGAAGCUGCUUGACUUACAGUUAGCCCCCAGAGUUUUGUCAGCUUCGUUCCCUCUAACUCAAGGGGUCUUAAACUCAGCCCUGCACCAGGAUCAGCUGCUAACCAGUCAGCUCGGUAGAAUACAGAUCACUGGGCCCCCACCUGGCUAUCUCACUCCAGGUCCAACAAAUUCCCAGCCAAGCUCUAGGCUGCUGCUCUGGGUCCACACUGAGAGAACCACUGCUCUGAAAAUUGGUCAGAUCAAUACACCCUUUCAGGUCUACGACUGGCUCAGAUCCAUGAGGAUCCCCACAGCCCACCCGAAGCCCUCAAAGUGGUGCCCACAGCAGGCAUAAUAGUGCCUGGAUGGUCCAUAAGGAUUCGUGCUCGAAAAGCAGAUCGUGUCUCCAGAUGUCUCAUGUGCUCCGGGAUUGAAACUGUGGGGUCCCUGGGGGAAGGGUUUGACCAUAUGCUUUCCUCACCAGGUUCCACCCCAAAGGGUUCUAUUACAGAGAAGCCCUGGCCUUUGAAAGAGGAGCUAUUUUCACUCUAAGAGCUGGUAAGUAGCUGGGCAUGGUGGCACAUAUCAUAAUCGCCGCAAUCUGAAGGCUGAGGUAGGAAAAUCAAAAGUUCUAUUCCACUCUGGGUAACUUAGUGAGUUAGAGAGACUUUGUCUCAAAAUUUAAAGUUUUAAAAAUGGGUUGGGGGGCCAAGAAUUUAGCUCAGUGGUGCCACCACCCGCCUCGCAAGCGCAAGGUCCCAAAUUCAAUCCCAGUACCAAAAAAAUAAAAAGUAAAAAAAUAGAAAUGGGUUGGGGACAUUGCUCAGAACAAAGGCUCUGCAUGCAUUCCCCAAUACCGCAGAAAUAAAGAGUUGGUAGGUAGGCUGAGUAGCUUCCUAAAGAAGCAGGAUUAGGGGUACUGCUGUCCCCAGUGACAUGCAGUAUGGAGGCCAUCAUCACUGGGGUCUCAAACUGUUUUGCUUAAUAAUGUUCUUACCAAGAAUCUAAGUAGUGGGGCAGGGAUUUAGCUCAAUGGUGCCUUGCCUGCCUCACAAGCACAAGGUCCCCAAUUCGAUCCCCCAUACUAAAAAAAAAAGAAUCUAAGUAGUUACAAAGGUUGUAUUGAUAUCUUUAUAAAAUAUGCCAAAUAACUGCAAUGAAAUCUGAAUAGCAGAGUGAUUUGAUAUUAAUCAUAUCUUUUUUUUUUUUUUUGGUACCGGGAUCAAACUUGGGACCUUGCGCUUGUGAGGCAGGCAGUGGAACCACUGAGCUAAAUCCACGGCCCCAGUCAUAUCCAUUUUUAAGGUACAUGGAAAAAAAAAUUCUCCUUAUUGACAGUGUUGAGUUUUACCCUCAAACUGUGCUCUAACAAAACAGCAAUGGGUUUGGAAACCCUUCCCUCCCAAUGCUUUUGUGUUCUAGAAACAACUUACUACCAAGAAGCACCCUCCCCCACCCAGCUGAGAUAAAACUCCUGGAUUCCCCUCUGGGACUCCCCGUGUGACAUCUAGUCAAAGCCAGACACAGCCACUUCCCGUUUCCAUCUUUGCUCCAUGGGACCCACUAAACUGCUUGGCCCACUGAUCAAGCAGAAGAAAAUGCUCGCUCUCAUCUACUACCCAUCUCUUCUGUUCCUUCCACUUCCCACACCCACUUUUUACCAGACUCAUCCCCUAAAAAAGCAGAUGUGUGCCCCGGCAGGGGUACACAUCUGUAAUACUAGCAUUCUGAGAGGAGGAGGCUGGAGUACCACACAAGUUUGAGGUCAGCCUGAGGUGGAAUAAAAGAAAUAAAAGAGAAAGAGGAAAUCAUAACUAAACAUUGUACUUUUAAGAAGAUUCCAGCUUCUAGGACCCAGCCCAUAUUACCGAGGGUGAUCCAUAUCAGUAUUUCCUUGGUUAAAUUUAGGCUCUGGUCCUGGCAGAUCUAGCACACCCCAAAUUCCUCAGGAAUACUGAAAGUCUAUAAAUUGGAUUAAUUGAGAAAAUAAAGAGCAGAAACUUGACCCCAAAAUAAAGGAGCCGGUGGAGAAAAUUCAAAAGUGUUUAAAUUUUCUAUUAAAAAAAAACACCUGCACAUGCCUAUAGAAUGGGCUAGUACUUUUGGGGGGCACCGUUUCCCAGGGUUUCCAUCCCUGCAAGAGAAGCAUAAAUGUUCCCUGUUCCAGGAAAUAACACACCUCAUUUCUCUGAGCACCUGCACUUCAUUCUUUCUUUCUUUGUGUGUGUGUGUGUGUGUGUGUGUGUGUGUGUGUGUGCCGGGGAUCAAACUUAGGACCUCGUGCUUGCCAGGCUCCCAUUUGCCAGGCAGGCACUGUGCCACUGAGCUAAAUCCCUGGUCCUGCACUCCAUUUUUGUGUGUCCUAAAAUCUCUGCCUAAUAAACUCUUAACUUGCCUCUUACAGAAGAGUCUUGAAAAUUCUUUUUUCACAAUGCGAGUCAUCGAACCUGCACUUCUUCUACAAAAGAUUGGGUCAAGUUCCUUAUUUCAGUUUCAGGCUCUCAGACCCAGCCCAGUGACAAGCCUGGACAACUUAGUGACUUAGUGAGACCCUGCUGGGCAUUUAAUGGGUUCAACCCCAUUUUCUCUCCCCUCAAAUCAGCUCUUUGUGUAACCCUUGAGAUAUUGUAGAUUUUAUGGAUUGUUCUUCCUAUUGUGUACUCUUAGCAUCCUGCAUCACACCCUCAAAAUAACCCUUUUAAAUAAAGUCUCCCUUUACUCAAUCCGGACUAUUUUUUUACAUUCUAUGCAGCAUUCUUUACAUUUGGCUCCUGCUACAGCGUUUUAUGCAAGCUUAUUGUAUAGAACACCCUUGUGCUUUCCUGUCCCAAGAAUAUGUUGAUAAAUUUGAACUCGCUAAUUCUGAAAAUUUUUCUGUGAUCAUAAAGCUGUAAGUGUUCAUUUGUUAUGCAAUAUCAGUACCUCACUUAAAAUAAAUACACAGAAUUUUCAUUAAAAUAAAUACACAGCAUUCAUAAGAAUCUUUCAGAUUUCCGCAACAACCUCAAAUUCUUUGUCACAG